rnacentral:rRNA from 1 species
AGAGUUUGAUCCUGGCUCAGGAUGAACGCUGGCGGCGUGCUUAACACAUGCAAGUCGAACGAAGCAACUUAUUACAAUCCCUUCGGGGUGACGGUUGUUGACUGAGUGGCGGACGGGUGAGUAACGCGUGGGUAACCUGCCUUGUACAGGGGGACAACAGUUGGAAACGACUGCUAAUACCGCAUAAGCGCACAGCUUCGCAUGAAGCAGUGUGAAAAGUUUUUCGGUACAAGAUGGACCCGCGUCUGAUUAGCUAGUUGGUGAGGUAACGGCCCACCAAGGCGACGAUCAGUAGCCGACCUGAGAGGGUGACCGGCCACAUUGGGACUGAGACACGGCCCAAACUCCUACGGGAGGCAGCAGUGGGGAAUAUUGCACAAUGGGCGAAAGCCUGAUGCAGCGAACCGCCGCGUGAGCGAAGAAGUAUUUCGGUAUGUAAAGCUCUAUCAGCAGGGAAGAUAAUGACGGUACCUGACUAAGAAGCACCGGCUAAAUACGUGCCAGCCGCAGC